rnacentral:rRNA from 1 species
GACGAACGCUGGCGGCGUGCUUAACACAUGCAAGUCGAACGAAGAGCGAUGGAAGCUUGCUUCUAUCAAUCUUAGUGGCGAACGGGUGAGUAACGCGUAAUCAACCUGCCCUUCAGAGGGGGACAACAGUUGGAAACGACUGCUAAUGCCGCAUACGAUCUGACCUCGGCAUCGAGGAUAGAUGAAAGGUGGCCUCUAUUUAUAAGCUAUCACUGAAGGAGGGGAGUGCGUCUGAUUAGCUAGUUGGAGGGGUAACGGCCCGCCAAGGCGAUGAUCAGUAGCCGGUCUGAGAGGAUGAACGGCCACAUUGGGACUGAGACACGGCCCAGACUCCUACGGGAGGCAGCAGUGGGGAAUCUUCCGCAAUGGACGAAAGUCUGACGGAGCAACGCCGCGUGAGUGAUGACGGCCUUCGGGUUGUAAAGCUCUGUUAAUCGGGACGAAAGGCCUUCUUGCGAAUAGUUAGAAGGAUUGACGGUACCGGAAUAGAAAGCCACGGCUAACUACGUG